rnacentral:rRNA from 1 species
UACGAAGGGGGCUAGCGUUGUUCGGAAUCACUGGGCGUAAAGGGUGCGUAGGCGGAUUCUUAAGUCAGGGGUGAAAUCCCGAGGCUCAACCUCGGAACUGCCUUUGAUACUGGGGAUCUUGAGUCCGGAAGAGGUGAGUGGAACUGCGAGUGUAGAGGUGAAAUUCGUAGAUAUUCGCAAGAACACCGGUGGCGAAGGCGGCUCACUGGUCCGGUACUGACGCUGAGGUGCGAAAGCGUGGGGAGCAAACAGG